rnacentral:tRNA from 4 species
GGGGUCGUAGCUCAGUUGGUAGAGCACCACAAUGGCAUUGUGGGGGUCUGGGGUUCGACUCCCCACGGCUCCACCA